GAUGAAGAACGUAGCGAAAUGCGAUAAGUAGUGUGAAUUGCAGAAUUCAGUGAAUCAUCGAAUCUUUGAACGCACAUUGCGCCCCUUGGUAUUCCAUGGGGCAUGCCUGUUCGAGCGUCAUUUGUACCUUCAAGCUUUGCUUGAUGUUGGGUGUUUGUCUCGCCUCUGCGUGUAGACUCGCCUCAAAACAAUUGGCAGCCGGCGUAUUGAUUUCGGAGCGCAGUACAUCUCGCGCUUUGCACUCAUAACGACGACGUCCAAAAGUACAUUUUUACACUCUUGACCUCGGAUCAGGUAGGGAUACCCGCUGAACUUAAGCAUAUCAAUAAGCGGAGGA
rnacentral:misc_RNA from 1 species